rnacentral:lncRNA from 12 species
UUCUGAUUGGUCUCAGCAACUCAGCAACUCGCAGAGGAGGUUCUCCCAGGGAAAAGCCCCUCUGUGUGUGUGUGUGUGUGCGCGCUCUCCUCCUGGAUGACUUCCGUGCAAAACCAGCACACCAGCGUAAGUAAAAUGUGUGAGCAACAGGGUGGAAAAAGAGCGGCUCAUGUGCCUUCCUCUUCAGAGAUUCAGCCGGCGUCUCCAGACCAAGUAACCAAGCCAACCACAAUUGGUAGCAAAAACUUUUCACCAGGUGCAAUAAAGCUGCCUCUUGAAGGCACUGCUGUAAGUAGCAGGAAUUUAGUCAUUCCAAUAGCUUCUUAUGUGUUGAGUAAUGUCCAUUUUUUUCAUGUCUACCUAGCUUCCUAUUUCUACAUAGCUACCAAGAACCUGCUGUGACUCUUGUAGUAAUUGAUUUUCUUUUCUCUUUCAGGAGAAAAGACGUUUUGGAGUUUAGCAAAAGUGGUUACACUCUUGAAAAAGUUGAAUCUGCAUGCGGUUGACAGGUUAGAAACUCCCGAAGUAUCUGGUAUCAUUAAUCACAACAAUGAUGAAUCAUAAAUGCUUUGUUUCUGAAUUAAGCUCUCUGUGUUUUGAAGGGGGGGCGGGGUAUUUUUUCCCUGCAUCUUAAAGAGCAAUGCUCCUUUGAAGGAUAAUAAUGUCAUCGAAGUUGUACCCUUUUACUGUGAUAUCUUAAACCAAGCUCUUUUUGUCCAGCUCCACACAGCUACCUUUGAGUGAAUAUGUCCCUCCUAGUGCAGUGUUUGAACAGGCUCAUUGCAAUGUUUCCACUGACUUCAGCAGCUCUUGCUUCAGCCUUUAUCUUUGGAACCUAGUUUCUAAAAAAAACCCUUUAGAAGCUUUCUACUUCUGUCACCAUUUUCUCCCAUCUUCUUUCCCUCAAGGAUGUUUUUUUAGCCCACUAAGAUCCAUUCAUAUCAAGAGGGAGCUUGGAUGUGAAGACAAUAGAGAAAAAAUGGGGCCAUUAAAGUGUUACAUUCUUAAAAGCAUUGUCCUUUUUUUGGUUUUGGCUAAAAUCAACUGUUCACUUUGAUCUCUUGUCAAGCAACAAAAGCUGCUGUUCUGAGGCUGCCACACAAAAGAUACCCAGCUAUGCUUCUGGCGAUUGAUUUCUUUUUACUGCCUAAGACUCCUUGGGAUCUGGGAGGCACUAAAGGUGUAUGUAUGUGCAGGUAUGAGCUGAAUCUUGCACCAGUUGUAAAUAAAUUCAUGAAAAUACAGAUGUUCUAGUGGUAGGAGAACUGUUUGUCGGAUAUUAAUCUAUGACACUAAACUAAUGCUACUGUUUGUAAAGAUUCUAGCAUAACAAGAGAUGGUUUGUACCAUACCAGGUCAAACACAUUGGACCAUAACUGACUCCAUGUUCACUUUUUCUGACAUGGCAUUAGCAUCAGCCUGUAAGGUACCUCAGACUGUGAGCAGAAGUUCAUUGUCUCUAAAUUUACAUUUGUAUUUACUUCCUAUUUGUACUUCCUAUUUUUUGCUGGACCUAUUUUGCUUCCUAUUUUUCCUGUUUUUUGAAAGUGUCUGAAAUUAGGUGCAUUGGAUGUGACUGGCUGUUAACCAAGUAAAGGAAAUAAUUAGGCAGUAUGCCUAAUGUGAGAUCUUUCAUGCACUCUCCACUCUCAGUGGGUUGUGAAAAACACUUUUUUUCUCUCUGAAAAAUUGCUACAUCAGAAUAUUUACCCUUAUUCCUCACUUU